AACUCGUCGGGUGGCCAGUUCGUCGUCGGGGUGUCGCACCCGUUUGCGAUGAUGAAAAAUCGUCACUUCCGUAGUUUCCUCGCUCACUCGAUGGAUAAAGGCGGUGUCUCAUUAUCUGGUGAGAAGCACGCGGUGCAUGGCGAGCGCCUAUUCGGGCAUCGACGCAACCAAUGCUCGACCCUCAUUUGUGAACCGUGUCGGUCGGGCAGACUGACUUGAGCGGUUCGUCUGUCAAACGGUCACGCAAGUGUCCCAAAGUGAGCUCAGCGUGGAUGAAGACCACACAUUGAGCAAAAGGGCAAAAGCUUGCUCGAUCUCAACUCUCAGGAUGAACACAAGCCGCGAAAGCGUGGCCCAUCGAUCCUUUCUGAACAGCAGCCAGCUAUCCGUCCACCGAGCGAUGUCAGAAGAGUUAC
rnacentral:rRNA from 1 species